rnacentral:rRNA from 1 species
ACUCCUACGGGAGGCAGCAGUGGGGAAUAUUGGACAAUGGGCGAAAGCCUGAUCCAGCCAUGCCGCAUGAGUGAAGAAGGCCUUUGGGUUGUAAAGCUCUUUUAGUGAGGAAGAUAAUGACGGUACUCACAGAAGAAGUCCUGGCUAACUCCGUGCCAGCAGCCGCGGUAAUACGGAGAGGGCUAGCGUUAUUCGGAAUUAUUGGGCGUAAAGGGCGCGUAGGCGGAUUAGUAAGUUAAAAGUGAAAUCCCAAGGCUCAACCUUGGAAUUGCUUUUAAAACUGCUAAUCUAGAGAUUGAAAGAGGAUAGAGGAAUUCCUAGUGUAGAGGUGAAAUUCGUAAAUAUUAGGAGGAACACCAGUGGCGAAGGCGUCUAUCUGGUUCAAAUCUGACGCUGAGGCGCGAAGGCGUGGGGAGCAAACAGGAUUAGAAACCCUAGUAGUCC